GUCACUGGUUACUGGAUCACUUAACUGGUAAGCUCAAGCUUAAUCUGAAAGGGAGAUUAGGAGCUGUCUAAUCUAGAGAGAAUUUCAGGAACUUUUUUUAACCUGAUAAGUCUCUAUGCAACUAGAUAUAAGAAGCUACUAAACCUCACUUAGCUCUAAAAUUAAUAGGGUCAAAUUAUUGUGUGGUGUUGAUUGUGGUCAUCUUGGUCUAGCCCUUCUUCUUAUCUUUUAGGAUUUCGGUUAAAAAAAAAAAAGAGUCUAAUUAAGUUGUGGAAAAUGUAUGCAUGGUAGAAGGUCAUUAAGGGAUAAGUUAACCCCAUUU
rnacentral:lncRNA from 1 species